CCCUGCAGGGGAAAGUUCUUUUGGAGAACACCGAGCCCCCUCUGCCUGCCUGCUAGGUCAGGGGCAACGCACCGCCGUUCCCGGGGAGGGUCGGGCAGUCCGGAGCGCUGUGGCUCGGGUCAGAGCGGGCAGGUCCAUUACAUAACCGCGAGGCGGCCCCUCACCCCUCGCCAAGCCGCGGCCCGUAGAGCGGAUCCCGGGAUAAAUCCCAUUCACCCGCCGGCCAGAGUCCACGGCGGAGCUGGGGGCGUUGAACUCUGGUGCAUUUCGGAGGCUGAGCGCGGGGAUUUUCCCCGCCACGCUCUCCGCCUCCCGCGCUGCCCGUGGGGCCCCCAGCCCAGCCGGCGCCUCCGCCGCGUCCGCUCCCCGCCCCUCGGGAGCGCGGACCGCGGCGCCUGGGGCCCGGGAAGGGGCCACCGCGCGGGGACGCGGCACGGUGGGUGCACCCCGGGGGCAUGUCCGCACGCCACCGUCCGGGCUGCAGCGGUCCACGCGAGCCUCAAAUUGAAUUUGUGGGGACUCUGGAGCCAGCACUCCAGGCAGGAUUUAAACACCUGUGUAUACCUUUGGUAAGUCAUUUAUUAAUUUCUGUGUGCCUCUGUUUCCCCAUCUUUUCAAUGGCGCUAGUAGUUUUAGCACUCCCUUUGAUCAUCAUAGAAAAGAUUAAAUGAAUGAUGCCCAGGCAUGCAAUAAACACUAUGUAAACUCUGCGAGUUGGUGAUGGACAGGGAGGCCUGGCGUGCUGUGAUUCACGGGGUCACAGAGUCGGACAUGACUGAGCGACUGAACUGAACUGAAUUGAACUGAAGCAGCACUAUUAUUACUGUUAGGAAAACUUGUGUGGCUUUAGUCUAGUUGGUUUAUCAUUACCUUAUGGUUAUUACAAAUCAUGUAUCUGGCUGUUGUUCAGUCGCUUAGUUAUGUCCGACACUUUGUGACCCCAGGACUGCAGCAUGCCAGGCUUCCUUGUCCUUCACCAUCUCCUGGAGCUUGCUCAAACUCAUGUCUAUUGAGUCGGUGAUGCCAUCCAACCAUCUCGUCCUCUGUUGUCUCCUUCUCCUCCUGCCUUCAAUCUUUCCCAGCAUCACAGUCUUUUCUAAUGAGUCAGCUCUUUGCAUCAGGUAGCCAAAGUAUUGGAGCUUCAGCUUCAGGCUAGUUUUCCUUUAUUGUCUAUGUCUAGAAAUUUUAAGGUCAACUUUUG
rnacentral:lncRNA from 1 species